rnacentral:lncRNA from 1 species
UUGGUUAGUUGAUUAUUUUGAUUUUUUUUUUUGUGUAGAGUAUUCUUGGUGGGGAGAUAUGUUUUGGGGUUUUUUGGUGUUGAUUUUUUUCAUAAUACUGACUUAAACUUUGGUAUGUAGUUUCAGUUUAAAUACAUUGAAAAUACAUUGACUGGUGAAAAAGAAAUCACCCCAUAUUUCUUAUACAGCAAAGAACCCAUCUGAAGAUGUUCUCUUGUUUUUCUGAUUGUGGAAUGUCUGAGACCAGAACAGAAUGGUACCAGAUUGGUUUGAUCACAGUAAACUGUCAUAGAUCAAAGGAGCCA